GCAUAUCAAUAAGCGGAGGAAAAGAAAAUCACAAUGAUUCCCCUAGUAACUGCGAGUGAAGAGGGACAAGCUCAAAUUUUAAAUCUAUCGGGUUUUACCUGACCGAGUUGUAAUUUGAAGAGGCGCUUUCUGCGUAUUUGGUUAGCCCAAGUCCUAUUGAAUGAGGCAUCAUGGAGGGUGAUAAUCCCGUCCGGUUGAUCAUUUGCGUUUUACGAUACGCUUUUCUAAGAGUCAAGUUGUUUGGGAUUGCAGCUUAAAAUGGGAGGUAGAUUUCUCCUAAGGCUAAAUAACGGCGAGAGACCGAUAGCGAACAAGUACCGUGAGGGAAAGAUGAAAAGAACUUUGAAAAGAGAGUUAAACAGUACGUGAAAUUGUUGAAAGGGAAACGAUUGAAG
rnacentral:rRNA from 1 species